rnacentral:rRNA from 1 species
UACGUAGGUGGCAAGCGUUGUCCGGAUUUAUUGGGUUUAAAGGGUGCGUAGGCGGCCCUGUAAGUCAGUGCUGAAAUAUCCCAGCUUAACUGGGAGGGUGGCAUUGAUACUGCGGGGCUAGAGUACAGAUGAGGUAGGCGGAAUUGACGGUGUAGCGGUGAAAUGCUUAGAUAUCGUCAAGAACACCUAUAGCGAAGGCAGCUUACUAGGCUGUAACUGACGCUGAGGCACGAAAGUGUGGGUAUCAAACAGG